AGAGUGUGCCAACAGCUUAGAUAUAGAGUGUGAGAGAGAAGAGUGGAGGCUGGUUCUCAGGCUCCAGAAGCAUAAGCCUGCAUGGAGCAUAGCGUCACUGAGCAAGACAGGUGUGGAGGAUGAGAAGCGGGCCACAGGAUGGGAAGGGAAUCUGUGUGGAGGCGGUGCCCUAAACAUGCUGCCUUGAGGAGGGACCUCUACAUGGGGUGGCCGGGCACAGCCAGGCUACCCAUGGGGACCUCAACAGCUUUGCCAUUGCACACUAUCUUUGCAGACAAGAUCUUAAUCACAUCCAACUUUCUGCAGUUGCACAGGGUACCUCAGACCCACAUCCCAGAUGACAUUCCUCAGAAGCUCGCAGCUGGAGAUGACAUCACCUUAGACAACAUCACCCUAGCCCAAGACAUCGCUAUUAGAGAUACAUCACCUGGACACUAAAGCCUCCAACCCAGUGACACUCUCAAGGUGCUGACAAAAUGGACAUGGACAUUUGUUGCUUUUCUUCUUUUGAAUUAGGAACUCUAUUGUGUUUCCUGAAUUUACUGUCUGCUUGGCCCAUGAUCCUGGUAUGUUCCUUGCUCUCUGCCAAAACAUGCACCGUCCCCUCCACACCUAAAGGAAAACCUGGUAGAAGCUACUACUCUCAAUGCCAUUCU
rnacentral:lncRNA from 1 species